AAGUCGUAACAAGGUUUCCGUAGGUGAACCUGCGGAAGGAUCAUUACAGAGUUCAUGCCCUAACGGGUAGACCUCCCACCCUUGUGUAUUUAUACUAUGUUGCUUUGGCGGGUAGCACCUCAGGGUGCUUCAGGGCUUGCUCGCCCGCCGAAGGAUACCUAAACUCUGUUUAUUAGUGUCGUCUGAGUACUAUAUAAUAGUUAAAACUUUCAACAACGGAUCUCUUGGUUCUG
rnacentral:misc_RNA from 1 species